rnacentral:sRNA from 1 species
CACUCACCAGUAGGUAGACAGGUAGCUUUUUAUAAAUUAACUGGUGCAUUUUUCAAUGUUUGUUUGCAUAGCAUCCAACUUCUCAAGUACAUAUUCCACCUUUUUGCAACUAAUCUCAUUAGCAAUCCUUGCACUGUAGUCAGACUUCUCAAAUGGGCGAUAUUCGCAGGCACUUUUGAUUUCCUCACGCAAUGUCGGCAAGAUAGUACCUUGAUGGUGAGCAUGUACUCGCGGCAGUGGGCAACGACUUUCUCGGGGCGGGGACCCUGCGAGUUCCCAAGCUCCUCCAUGACCGCCCCCGCCAGUUGCAUCAGCUGGACUAUCCGCUGCUCGACAUGGUUGAGGCGUUGCAGUGAGCUGCUCUGGCUUUGCGGAAGCAUCGCUACCACCAGAGAGGAGGAGGGG